GGCUACGGGCGGCACGUGGGUGGUGGGUGAACUGGGAGGCGUCUGGGGAGCGCUGGGCCGUACUGGGCCUGAGCCGUUCUUUUCCCUCCUUCCUUUCAACCACUGAAGGUUGCGAGUGGCUGGAGAGUGAAAGCCCCCGAAAGCGCCUCGUUAAACACCCAAGACAAGAUGCUAACGGUUCCUUUUGAAUCUGGCGGCCGUAGCACAGUCAACAUAUGGCGUGAGAAGAGGAGCCGAUGGCAACAGAUUUUUGGUUCAUUUUGAGAGAAAAACACAGAUAAACACAGGCUUUUGCUGUUUAAAAA